rnacentral:lncRNA from 1 species
UGAUGAAAUAAGAAGGCCUAAUUGUAUACAGCUGGUCUAUAUAUCAAGAUGUUCCAGGUAUACCUUAAGAAGGCCUAAUUGUAGACAGCUGUCUAUAUAUCAAGAUGUUCCAGGUAUACCUUGAGUAGGCCUGGUAGUCUACAGUUGCCUAUAUAUCAAGAUGUUCUAGGUAUACCUUGAGUAGGCCUUGUAGGCUACAGUUGCCUAUAUAUCAAGAUGUUCUAGGUAUACCUGAGUAGGCCUUGUAGGCUACAGUUGCCUAUAUAUCAAGAUGUUCCAGGCAUACCUUGAGUAGGCCUUGUAGGCUACAGUUGCCUAUAUAUCAAGAUGUUCUGGGUAUACCUGGAGUAGGCCUUGUAGGCUACAGUUGCCUAUAUAUCAAGAUGUUCUGGGUACACCUGGAGUAGGCAUUAGCUGUAGGCUACAGCUGUGUAUCUGUAUAGAUAUGCUGGAGUAGGUGGGUAGCCAGAGCUUACAGCCUUAGACAGGUAGGACUAUUCAUUGAUGUCAGCUACGUGUACAGGACAGAUAUGCGUACUCAGUAAUCUCCCAUGAGUCAGCCACAUUGUGCCUGUUAUACCUGAUUUAACAUAACAGCUUUGUAAAUCUGUCACUAUACCAAGCCAAAUAAACGACCUUCUGUAUGUAUUAAUCCUAAGAUUAUUCUUUGAGUAGGCUGGAAGUGGCAUUAAUUUUUUAUAACAAACCAUAAUGUGUUUUUUCUAAAGGACACAUAUCCCACAAAGAUGUCAUAUUAAACUGUAUAUGCCAUAUUUAUCAACCACUUGGCUGAUAUCCAUGUGCUGUUUGCCUAUUGAUAGUGUUGCCCCAAGCAGUAUAAUGGCCAUGAUAGGGACCUUGCUCAGCCGGGUUGUGUUACUGAUUGAAGGAACACAUGGCAAGUAACCUGUUUAUCUAGUACUGAUGACAUAAUGAUUGCUGCUGCCCUAAUGUGGAGGCCAGACCAGGGCUGUAGUGACAAGCCAAGGAGCUGAUCCCUAUCUCUGUUAUCAGCCCUUUCAACACUUGACUACUUUAGCUGCAAUGGAUACAGGCUGAAGAGUGUGUGUUGUCGCAUUGUGUCAUCGUCUUUACUUGGUCAUUGUAGGGUCCUUUUGCUCAUCCAGAACUGUGUAAUGCUGCUUGCAGAUGAAAUCAGAAGUGUCUCUUUUUUUGCUGAGGUGCAUAGGUGGUUUAACUGGGUAAACAGUUCAGCAUAUUGUCCAUGUUAGUGUUUGGAAAAGACUGUGUCCUCAUGCCCCACUAGAAGUGGUUUGCUCUCCCACUUGAUCUACAUCAUGGUUACACCAUACCUCAACAGCCCAUACCUUCACCUCUGUCAGUGUCAUAUGUGGCCUGUCUCCCAGACCAUGGAGAAUACAGUAAAUAAAAUAAAUGAAUAAGUCAUAUUCAAGUCUAGAAUGAUUUAGGAAAAUUAUGAUAUUAAGGAUUGUUCUGGGCGCCACUGGGAUUUGUUUUGUAGAUAAAUAUAUUUUUAUAUAUUUUAUAUAAGAUAACUUUAUUUCUGGGCCUAAUGGUCAGGCUAUGUCAUACAUGUCCCUUGCUCUUACUUGUGCCUCCGUAUACCACUAUACCCUUCCCACUACCUUUACAGGUAUUCCCUCUGCCCCCAAAACACCACAAGCACCCCACCCUCAAACAUCUCUCAGAGGCUGAUCCCCUUGCUUGCUCAUCUCUACCACUUUCCCCACCCCCAUAUGCUCUGUCACUGAAGUCCUGCCCCCACCUCUACCCCAGAGGUUGAUUGUGCCCCUCCCACUGCCUGCCAUGUAAGAAGUGACUUCCAGAUGUGUAAGUUGUUGAAUGUAAUCACAGGGACAGGGAUAAUGACAGUGAACCAACAUUCCUCACCCAGGGGCACCUAAAGCUGAUUAGCCCCCCUAGGGUUGGGCUGGGACCUGGGGCCAUUAAAGUGGUGAGUUGUACCAAACUAGCAGUGAUGCUGAACCCAUAGACUCUGUUUAUGAAGGGGAUACGGUGGGUGCAACUAUUCGUUGGGUGCAUCUAAUGACACUGGCCUGUGGUCUCCAUUAUUCAAGUGUGAAUUACCACAUCCAAUGAUGAGAAAGAAAUCUUUAAUGGGCAUUGAUAUUGUGUUCCCUUACAGUGACAGUGAAAUGCCACUCAUAAAAACUGCCUAAUUAAACCAACAUUUACUCUUUCUGAAGAAGCCCAACUUUUCAAGUCAUCAAUUACACAGGUUUCAUGAACAGAAAUAAACAACAAAUAUUGUUUCUGUAAACAAGGAGAAGAUUACAGGGAAAUAUUGUGUUACAUUUGAGAGUUGAGAGAAACCCAGCUGGACUCUACAGCCAGUGUUGGGUAGACUCGGUUGGGGGAGAUGCCAGUUUCUAAGGUAGUUGUCAGGCUGGGAUAAUGGAACCUGCCAACUGACAUAGCGGAAUCUUCACAUCAAGUACAGGAUUAAUUAUGCCAAUUGUCAAUGAGUGUCAUCUUUCCUUGACCCACACAACCAGCUUCUAAUUCCUUCUGUCCUUUCCUCUGUCCAGUGGGAUAGCUAUCUACAUCCAUUCCUUUCUCCCCCCCCAACCAACCAGCAUACCAGACAGACUGACUACUGGGCUAUGUUGGUGAGUACGGGAGAUCUGCCCUGAUAUAUCCAGUCAGGUCAGCUGUACAGGACCCAAUGUCACCUCCAUCUUACAUGACCAUCUUCAUUAGUCAACACAACAUCUCAGUGUCAGCUGACGAAAUAAAAAGUCUUCUUUACAAAUGAGUAUAAGUAUUUCCAUCAUGUCCUGUCUCAGGGUCAUACGAACAACAUAAAAUACCUUUUACUGCGGAAUUAGCUAAUUUUGUGUCUUGUUUUCCACACAGUCUGAUGCUAUCUGUUUAAACUGGUUGGGCCUAAAAGGGCCUAAAACACAAAAUACUAGUGCUGUAGACAUUGAUGAUUUUAGGUGUCAGCUUUCAUAGGGAUUUCUGUGACUAUUGUGUUCUCAAGUGGGAAGUCCGUGAUACUGUGGAGGAUGUGUUCUAGUUACUCAUUGAGUUAUCAGUAGGAGAGUUCAGUAAACAAUCACCAUAACUUCCCUCCCCUCUCAUUUAUCACCCAGUGGCUGGACCAGGCAGCAUUAGGGUCAUAUAUACAUCGACAUCAACACCCCCAGUAUGUGUCCCAGACCCAGGAGAACAAAUUACAGUCUAGACUGCUUCAGCUCUUAAAUAAACAAUUGUACUAAGCACCUUUUGGAUUUUAUUUAAUUGGUUUCGGGAGGAUUUUCUUUUAGUCAUAUUUUUUCAAGUAAGAUAACUUUACUUCUGGGGCUAAUUGUGAGUCUACACAACACACAUAUACACAAUAACACACAUGCUCACACUUACACUUACACACAAGGUCACACACAUCCACUCUGACUCACAUAUCUCCCCACCCAUUCAUCUUCCACUGGUGGCUCUAUACCCAGAGAUUAAAGGACUGAAUGUCCCAUAUUGGUCUACUCCCAUUGAUAUUUUAUCUCAGGUUUUGUCAUUUUACUGCACAUCUCAUGUCCUGUCCUACCAACACCUCUCAGAUAGUAUUUAAAUUGGAUUUGCAUUUCAGGGCCCUGUUGCACAAAGUGAUCUCAGCGUUAUGACUUUCGUAAGCUUGUGUUGAAGUAUGGGAGUUGUGAUCACCUCAGCGCUGAGAUAGGUUUGUUCAGUGGGGUCCAUGUCAUUAAUUUACUGGUAUUCUAAUGGUUACUGUUGGUGUAAGUAAUCUAUGGAUUAAAAUAAAUAUAGUCAACAUUUACUUUCUACCGUUAGUAAAACAGACUGACAACCUUUGAUGGAAUUGUGUUUUGGGACAGAGAGUCAUCCCCGUUACACGCGUUAGGUGAAACCUCCUUUCCUUCUUCCAUGUGAACAGAUUCAUUUACCAGACAGAAUACCUGUUAACACUGUGGUCAAAUACCAGCAAAUUCUUGUCUCAAAUAGAUCUUCUUGGGUUCUUUCAGCUUGUGACUAAUUUUUCACAAACAAAAAAAACCCACAAAAUCUUGUCUCAGUGUCUGUAUAUGAUUGUGAUUCCACUGAGUUAUUACAGAGAAAAGCAGUUUUUGGCAGUACCAUCAUGUUGUGGAUAUACAUCCAUCUUGAAGCACACGCUCAUGUGUCCAGUUCAGUUGCAUUUACUAUGAGUUACCUGUGUUUACCUGUCACUACCUGAAGCCAGGUAUUCCAUCAGUCUGAUGGUGUGUGCAGCAGUUAUGAUUCUAUUGGUGCUAUAGACGUUUGUCAUCGCAGGCUCUUUAAUGUUAAACAAACCUGGUCAGUUUUGUUGUGUUAUACACUGUACCUGCAAUUUAAUUUCAUUAUGAUGUUCACAUAUUUUAUGUAUGUCCAUGAUGAAUAUUGUUUCAAAAUAACCCACUGGUAUUAAUUAUCUUUAAUUAUCAGGAAAGGUUUUUAACGUUUUAAUAUUUUAUGAGAGUUUACAAGUGCAAUUAGACUGAUAGAUAACUCUUUUUAAAGUGCCUUUCUUUGUUUGUUUUUCUUUGUGUUAGCUCCUGUAUAUCCUGACAGUUCAGAUAAAGGUCCGCAAAGAUAUCAAGAGGCUGAUACUAGUGGUUUCUGUUUUGCAGAUAAAAGCAACAAUUAAUGAUGCUAUCUUCUUUCGUUGUUGUCAAUUAUUCAUACACACCUUAUGAAGGGAAACAGACUAAAUCAAGCCUAACAAAAGCAAUUUAUAGAGCCCUGAUAAUAUUGGAUAUAAAUUUGCUGUUAUUGAUGUCACGGUGGAGCAUUACAACGUUCACCUUAUACCCGACUGCCAAGCCUUACAUUAAGACAUAAGUGAUUUCUGGUAAACUGAGUACCUGCUUAUAAAGAAAUCCAAGUGUGUGUCUUGUGGACUGAAUCUUUAGUCAGCAGUUGGCAGUCAUCCUUGUUAUCAUUGAGGUAUGAUCCCUCAACCUUUGUGGUGAUUUGAAUUCAAAAUCUACAUUAGUACUUGCUGUUAUGCAUCCUAUGAACUAUGAAUUCAUUAGCAGCAACUCUCUAGGUGUAAAAUUGAUGUAUGAGUAUACAGUGCCGAUACCAGUCUUGUGUUGCAGAGUCAAUGCUUAACUUUUCAUGUACAUUGUAUCAACUUUCAGUACUUAAUAGUCUUUGUACCUUGAACAAAACUUUUAUAAUUGUGGAAUAAAUAAUCCAAUGUGGCAUUAAUGCAUAUUCAUCAGUGAAUUUGUUAUUGUGUAUUUGUAUAGCUCUAGAUGAUGAAAGUCUGUGCAUGAUGACAGUAUAUGUAAUGAAGAAUAUGUGUAUAUGAUAACACACCAAGCUUGGGAGAUGGGGAGUUCAGUGUACAGUAUAGACAAGUUUGUACAGUACAGGGCAGUAGUAAGUCCCACUAUUAUUGCAUGUUGCAACUUUUGUUACCUUGAAGGGUACAGAAUAUUUUGUUAAACAAAUUGCAACUGUAUUUCUUUGAAGGUAUUUAUUGUAUCUGAAUAUGCUAUGAUACACCUGUGUACCAGUGAAUGGUUUCAGCCCCAGGUGAGAGGGCAAGUUUGUUAUGAUUCUGGCUGUAGUGUGGGACCACUACUUCCCUGUGCUGACUUCAUGAGUUGUAUUUGAUCUGUAGUAUUUAUAUAGUCACACUUAUAUAAGCAGUUGACA